ACGGGUGAGUAACGCGUGGGUAACCGUGCCUUGUACUGGGGGACAACAGUUGGAAACGACUGCUAAUACCGCAUAAGCGCACAGCUUCGCAUGAAGCAGUGUGAAAAACUCCGGUGGUACAAGAUGGACCCGCGUCUGAUUAGCUGGUUGGUGAGGUAACGGCCCACCAAGGCGACGAUCAGUAGCCGGCCUGAGAGGGUGAACGGCCACAUUGGGACUGAGACACGGCCCAAACUCCUACGGGAGGCAGCAUG
rnacentral:rRNA from 1 species